AUAAUAAAUUGUUCUUUAAUUAAGUUCUGGAAUGAAAGGAAUAAUGAAAUAAUAACUUUAUUUAUAUAAAUAAUAAAAAUUGAUUAUUAAAUUAAAAGGUUUAAAUAAUUUUUUAAGACGAGAAGACCCUAAAGAAUUUUAUUAGAAUUGUUUAUAAUAAAAUUUAAUAUAUAAAUAUUUUUUAAAUUAAUUGGGGAGAUUAUUAAAUUUAAUAAACUUUAAUAUUAAAAACAAUUAUUUUUGAAUUUAUGAUUAAUAAAUAAAUAGAAAAAUUACCUUA
rnacentral:rRNA from 1 species